AUGCACUCCAACAAUGACCAAAUGUAACACAAAGCGGACCAACCGCAGUGACAGCUGAACUAAGUUUGCCGAGGGAAACUUUAGCACUGAUUGUAACCCCACAACAGAGACGAAUUAAAGAAACGACACGAACUUUGCACAGCACACACACCAGGCCGGUAAAAGAGCUUCAGGACCAAGGAAUGUUGAACUUGAUGGGCUCACAUUAAACAAGAUUGUGUCCAACUGCACAGCCUUUCUAUCAGAGCACAUUGUUGCCUUCUUCCCUCAUCAAAACUCAGUCCUGCGAGCCUGUGUUCUCUCUUUGGGCCAGCAGUGGACAGAGUUGUCAUUUACCUUCCAGCUUCUGUCAAACUGUCCCUCACUGUUAUCCCUCGGGCCUCGUCUUCUCC